GACCUAACCAGGAAGCAGACAGUGUCGUCAUUUCACGAGUUCUACACGCGGUAGUGAUUACACCGUGUUGCAUGCACGUUUUCUGUGGGAAAGGAUCAGAUAUUGUUCUUUCAACUUAUCACUUCACCUUCAGUUAGUCCUGACUGGGAAGAUUUUAUAGGAGGUAAUCAGACAACACCCCUUAAGACCUUCAGAGCAAGCUUACAUUGUGAGUCAUCACGAUGACGCCACAAGAGCAGCAUGACAGACAGACCAGAGGACCUGGAGACUGAUGAUGCAGCUGAAUCCCACUUGAAGGCAAGCUAUCGUCUUGCACGGUUGAGCUUGGCUUGUGGACAUGAAAGUCUCUGUGGUGCCAGGUCUCUAAUCUGUGAUGUAAUCAAGAAGCAAAGCCUGGCAUCGUUCCAACUACAGCGAGCAGGAGAGCGACUCUGUGGGCACAGUGACAGCAGCCUCGGGGGAUUUUCUGCAGGAAAGGAGCUGCAGUCGUUUUUCUAAAGCAAAGUCUGACACUGUGGCCCCGGUCAGACAAAAUCGAAACCACUGCAUCCUGAUGCACCUACAGUCGCUGUGAUUCUAAUGUGAGUUGUGUUGUGUGUUACAAACUCAACUCCAGUUUUAAUGUCUAAAUUUACUGACAUUUUGCCAAAUGAAACCAUUAAAAGUAGACCCUGUCGACUUGUAUUUUCCUCCGAA